UCCAUUAGAUAGUUCUAACAUACUAUCAAAGGACCUAAAUAAAGCUGCUUGUUUACGAAGCAACUCUUCGGUUUUUUUUGAAUACCUGAAGGAUUUCAGGCUGUCAGUGAAAGAAGCUUGGAACAAAUUCUCCAUUAUGGUAUAUAUUAUUAACUAGUUUAUAUAUAAUAUACUUAGUAAAUUCUUAAACGAAUGUUUUAUAAAAUACGUAGUAACAAUGCGUUACCAUACGCUUCUGCCUGAUAAAAUGCUCAGAAUAAAUGAGAUAAUUCUCAGAAUUAUAGUGCUCAAAACAAAUGGAAAGGACUUACCUACUGCAAUGGCUGCUUUCCUCUUCUUGUUAUGUUGCGUGUAGAUUAGUACCCGACGUCUUCCGCCACACCGUGUUGACGGAUACGGGAUUGUUUAUUAUCUUUUAAAAGGACCUCCUAGACCCUUUGCUUGCUUCUCUGCUACGCUUCUCUGUAAAUGCUUGUACCUCCAGGAUACAUUCUGUGCUUUAAACAAUUGGAGAGGACUUACUGUACCGAGCGCUGUCGCUUGCCUCUCUAUGUUGAAGAUUGACGUCCGUCGCCUUGUUCUAGGUUGAAAGGACGCCGAUAUAUUUGGACUAGUCUGGAUCCUUGAAAACGUUGCUCUCCUCUUUUCUAUUGAUGCGGAUGAUGGUAUUUGAUUUGCUUGAUGACCCAACGAACCAGCAGUGGGAUGUUUUUCCACGGCGCCGAUCUUCAGGAAAACGGAGUAAAACGCGAACGCGAUCAACUGAACGCGAAAGACCCGCUAUUCCCGGAUAG